rnacentral:rRNA from 1 species
CCUACGGGUGGCAGCAGUGGGGAAUAUUGGGCAAUGGGCGCAAGCCUGACCCAGCAACGCCGCGUGAAGGAAGAAGGCUUUCGGGUUGUAAACUUCUUUUAAGAGGGAAGAGCAGAAGACGGUACCUGAGGAAUACGCCACGGCUAACUACGUGCCAGCAGCCGCGGUAAUACGUAGGUGGCAAGCGUUAUCCGGAUUUAUUGGGUGUAAAGGGCGUGUAGGCGGGAGCGCAAGUCAGAUGUGAAAACUCAGGGCUCAACCCUGAGCCUGCAUUUGAAACUGUGGUUCUUGCGUGCUGGAGAGGCAAUCGGAAGUCCGUGUGUAGCGGUGAAAUGCGUAGAUAUACGGAGGAACACCAGUGGCGAAGGCGGAUUGCUGGACAGUAACUGACGCUGAGGCGCGAAAGCGUGGGGAGCAAACAGGAUUAGAUACCCCUGUAGUC